CAGCAGUGGGGAAUAUUGCACAAUGGGGGAAACCCUGAUGCAGCGACGCCGCGUGGAGGAAGAAGGUUUUCGGAUUGUAAACUCCUGUCGUUAGGGACGAUAAUGACGGUACCUAACAAGAAAGCACCGGCUAACUACGUGCCAGCAGCCGCGGUAAAACGUAGGGUGCAAGCGUUGUCCGGAAUUACUGGGUGUAAAGGGAGCGCAGGCGGGAAGACAAGUUGGAAGUGAAAUCUAUGGGCUCAACCCAUAAACUGCUUUCAAAACUGUUUUUCUUGAGUAGUGCAGAGGUAGGCGGAAUUCCCGGUGUAGCGGUGGAAUGCGUAGAUAUCGGGAGGAACACCAGUGGCGAAGGCGACCUACUGGGCACCAACUGACGCUGAGGCUCGAAAGCAUGGGUAGCAAACAGGAUUAGAUACCCUGGUAGUCCAUGCCGUAAACGAUGAUUACUAGGUGUUGGAGGAUUGACCCCUUCAGUGCCGCAGUUAACACAAUAAGUAAUCCACCUGGGGAGUACGACCGCAAGGUUGAAACUCAAAGGAAUUGACGGGGGCCCGCACAAGCAGUGGAGUAUGUGGUUUAAUUCGAAGCAACGCGAAGAACCUUACCAGGUCUUGACAUCCAACUAACGAGGUAGAGAUACAUUAGGUGCCCUUCGGGGAAAGUUGAGACAGGUGGUGCAUGGUUGUCGUCAGCUCGUGUCGUGAGAUGUUGGGUUAAGU
rnacentral:rRNA from 1 species